GCCGGCAGCUAGCUCUCUGCAACUCUCACAUGGUCGCCCACUGAAGCUAAGCAGGGCUGUGCCUGGUCAGUACCUGGAUGGGAGACCACAUGGGAAAGCUAGGUUGCUGCCGUAA
rfam:Danio rerio chromosome 21 genomic contig CTG2050, GRCz11 reference primary assembly.